rnacentral:rRNA from 1 species
AUUGAACGCUGGCGGCAUGCCUUACACAUGCAAGUCGAACGGCAGCACGGGAGCAAUCCUGGUGGCGAGUGGCGAACGGGUGAGUAAUAUAUCGGAACGUGCCCAGUAGUGGGGGAUAGCCCGGCGAAAGCCGGAUUAAUACCGCAUACGACCGAAGGGUGAAAGCGGGGGAUCGCAAGACCUCGCGCCAUUGGAGCGGCCGAUAUCAGAUUAGCUUGUUGGUGGGGUAAAAGCCUACCAAGGCGACGAUCUGUAGCUGGUCUGAGAGGACGACCAGCCACACUGGGACUGAGACACGGCCCAGACUCCUACGGGAGGCUG